rnacentral:rRNA from 1 species
GAUGAACGCUGGCGGCGUGCUUAACACAUGCAAGUCGAACGGAAAGGCCCAAUCUUGCUUGGGGACUCGAGGGGCGAACGGGUGAGUAACACGUGGGUGAUCUGCCCUGCACUUCGGGAAACGUCUGGGAAACUGGGUCUAAUACCGGAUAGGACGAUGGCUUGGAGGCCAUGGUGGAAAGGUUUUUCGGUGUGGGGUUGGCGCGCGGCCUAUCAGCUUUUUGGGGGGGUAAGGGCCUACCAAGGCGUCGACGGGUAGGCGGCCUGCGAGGGCGUACGGACCCCUUGGGCGGGUGAGACGGGCCAGAGUCCUGCGCGUGGCGGCGCUGGGGAAUAUUGCACACUGGGCGCGAGCGUGAUGCGGCGAAGCCCCGCGUGCGCUGACGGCCCUCGCGUUGUAAACUCCUCUCUCUAGGGACGAGGCGUUUUUGUGACGGUACCUGGAGAAGAAGCACCGGCUAACUACGUG